rnacentral:tRNA from 1 species
ACCUCUAUUAAAAACUAGAGUUUCGACCUCUAAAAGGGGAAAAUUAAACCCUAGAGGUA